rnacentral:misc_RNA from 1 species
GAUGAAGAACGCAGCGAAAUGCGAUACUUGGUGUGAAUUGCAGAAUCCCGUGAACCAUCGAGUCUUUGAACGCAAGUUGCGCCCGAAGCCAUUAGGCCGAGGGCACGCCUGCCUGGGCGUCACACGUCGUUGCCCCCCCCAUCUACUCCUUCGGGAUUGCGGGGGGCGGAUGAUGGCCUCCCGUGCGCCUCGCCGCGCGGUUGGCAUAAAUGCCAAGUCCUCGGCGACGCACGCCACGACAAUCGGUGGUUGCGAAACCUCGGUUGCCCGUCGUGUGCGGUCGUCGCGCAUCGAGGGCUCGAAAAAAUUGCCGAGUUCCGGCUCGGCUUUCAACGCGACCCCAGGUCAGGUAGGGAUACCCGCUGAACUUAAGCAUAUCAAUAAGCGGAGGA